CCUUCGGAGUGUCAAACAAACAGGAGUAGGAAUAUCCGAAACUGGGCACGAUGAACAAGGAA
rnacentral:ncRNA from 1 species